rnacentral:rRNA from 1 species
UCGCCUACGGGACGCAGCAGUAGGGAAUUUUCGUCAAUGGGCGCAAGCCUGAACGAGCAAUGCCGCGUGAACGAGGAAGGUCUUCGGAUCGUAAAGUUCUGUUGAAGGGGAAAAAGAGCGGAGAGAGGAAAUGAACUCCGAUUGAUAUUACCCUUCGAGGAAGUCACGGCUAACUACGUGCCAGCAGCCGCGGUAAUACGUAGGUGGCGAGCGUUAUCCGGAAUGAUUGGUCGUAAAGGGUGCGUAGGCGGCCUACUAAGUCUGGAGUGAAAGGUACCGGCUCAACCGGUACAGGCUCUGGCAAC